rnacentral:rRNA from 1 species
UACAGAGGGGGCGAGCGUUGUUCGGAAUUACUGGGCGUAAAGGGCGCGUAGGCGGCCAACUAAGUCAGACGUGAAAUCCCUCGGCUCAACCGGGGAACUGCGUCCGAUACUGGUUGGCUUGAGUUUGGGAGAGGGAUGCGGAAUUCCAGGUGUAGCGGUGAAAUGCGUAGAUAUCGGGAGGAACACCGGUGGCGAAGGCGGCCCCCUGGUUGGAUACUGACGCUGAGACGCGAAAGCGUGGGGAGCAAACAGG